rnacentral:rRNA from 1 species
AUACGUAGGGGGCGAGCGUUGUCCGGAAUGAUUGGGCGUAAAGGGCGCGUAGGCGGCCCGGUAAGUCUGGAGUGAAAGUCCUGUUUUUAAGAUGGGAAUUGCUUUGGAUACUGUCGGGCUUGAGUGCAGGAGAGGUAAGUGGAAUUCCCAGUGUAGCGGUGAAAUGCGUAGAGAUCGGGAGGAACACCAGUGGCGAAGGCGGGUAACUGGACUGCAACUGACGCUGAGGCGCGAAAGUGUGGGGAGCAAACAGGAUUAGAUACCCUGGUAGUCCACACUGUAAACGAUGAAUGCUAGGUGUAAGAGGUAUCGACCCCUUUUAUGCCGGAGUCAACACAAUAAGCAUUCCGCCUGGGGAGUACGGCCGCAAGGUUGAAACUCAAAGGAAUUGACGGGG